UACGUAUGUUCCAAGCGUUAUCCGGAUUUAUUGGGCGUAAAGCGAGCGCAGACGGUUAUUUAAGUCUGAAGUGAAAGCCCUCAGCUCAACUGAGGAAGGGCUUUGGAAACUGGAUAACUUGAGUGCAGUAGAGGAAAGUGGAACUCCAUGUGUAGCGGUGAAAUGCGUAGAUAUAUGGAAGAACACCGGUGGCGAAAGCGGCUUUCUGGACUGUAACUGACGUUGAGGCUCGAAAGUGUGGGUAGCAAACAGG
rnacentral:rRNA from 1 species